GACGAACGCUGGCGGCGUGCCUAACACAUGCAAGUCGAACGGAAAGGCCCUGCUUUUGUGCGCUUCCCGAUUGGCGAAGGGGUGAGUAACACGUGAGUAUCCUGCCCUUCACUUUGGGGUAACUUAACGAAACUGGAGCUAAUCUCGCAUAGGAUCUCCCGCUCCAUGGUGGGCAUUGGAUCGUUUCGGUGGUUGGGGAUGGACUGGCGGCUUAUCGGCUUGUUGGUUGGGUGGUGGUUUACCCAGCCUUUCACGGGUAGGCGGCCUGGGAGGGUGACCGGGCACAUGAGGACUGAGGUAGGGCCCAGACUGGAACGGGAGGCAGCGGUGGGGAGUAUUGCACAGUAGGCUGAAGCCUGAUGCAACAACGCCGCGUGCGGGAUGACGGCCUGCGGGUUGUGAACCGCUGUCGCCUGAGACGAAGCGUGAGUGACGGUACUGGGUAAAGAAGCACCGGCUAACUACGUG
rnacentral:rRNA from 1 species